UGGGGAAUAUUGCACAAUGGGGGAAACCCUGAUGCAGCGACGCCGCGUGAGCGAUGAAGUAUUUCGGUAUGUAAAGCUCUAUCAGCAGGGAAGAAACUGACGGUACCUGACUAAGAAGCACCGGCUAAAUACGUGCCAGCAGCCGCGGUAAUACGUAUGGUGCAAGCGUUAUCCGGAUUUACUGGGUGUAAAGGGAGCGUAGACGGACUUGCAAGUCUGAAGUGAAAGCCCGGGGCUCAACCCCGGGACUGCUUUGGAAACUGUAGGUCUAGAGUGCUGGAGAGGUAAGUGGAAUUCCUAGUGUAGCGGUGAAAUGCGUAGAUAUUAGGAGGAACACCAGUGGCGAAGGCGGCUUACUGGACAGUAACUGACGUUGAGGCUCGAAAGCGUGGGGAGCAAACA
rnacentral:rRNA from 1 species